GUGCUUGCUUCGGCACCACAUGUACUAAAAUUGGAAUGAUACAGGGAAGAUUAGCAUGGCCCCUGCACAAGGAUGACAUGCAAUUUUAUAAAUCAUUCCAUAUUUUA